GACGAACGCUGGCGGCGUGCUUAACACAUGCAAGUCGAACGGAAAGGCCCCUUUGGGGGUACUCGAGUGGCGAACGGGUGAGUAACACGUGAGUAACCUGCCCUUGACUUCGGGAUAACUUCAGGAAACUGGGGCUAAUACCGGAUAGGAAUCCUUGCUGCAUGGUGGGGGUUGGAAAGCUUCGGCGGUUUUGGAUGGACUCGCGGCUUAUCAGCUUGUUGGUGGGGUAGUGGCUUACCAAGGCUUUGACGGGUAGCCGGCCUGAGAGGGCGACCGGCCACAUUGGGACUGAGAUACGGCCCAGACUCCUACGGGAGGCAGCAGUGGGGAAUAUUGCACAAUGGACGGAAGCCUGAUGCAGCAACGCCGCGUGCGGGAUGACGGCCUUCGGGUUGUAAACCGCUUUCAGCAGGGGCGAAGCUUGUGGUGACGGUACCUGCAGAAGAAGCACCGGCUAACUACGUG
rnacentral:rRNA from 1 species